CUGUAGCGCAAUGGGUAGCUCUUUGGACUUUUAAUCCAAAGGUCCUGGGUUCGAAUCCCACCUGAAAGG